GAUGAAGAACGUAGCGAAAUGCGAUAAGUAAUGUGUAUUGCAGAAUUCAGUGAAUCAUCGAAUCUUUGAACGCACAUUGCGCCCGCCAGUAUUCUGGCGGGCAUGCCUGUUCGAGCGUCAUUACAACCCUCAGGCCCCCGGGCCUGGCGUUGGGGAUCGGCGGAAGCCCCCUGCGGGCACAACGCCGUCCCCCAAAUACAGUGGCGGUCCCGCCGCAGCUUCCAUUGCGUAGUAGCUAACACCUCGCAACUGGAGAGCGGCGCGGCCACGCCGUAAAACACCCAACUUCUGAAUGUUGACCUCGAAUCAGGUAGGAAUACCCGCUGAACUUAAGCAUAUCAAUAAGCGGAGGA
rnacentral:misc_RNA from 1 species